UACGGGGGGGGCAAGCGUUGUUCGGAAUUACUGGGCGUAAAGGGCGCGUAGGCGGCCUGCUAAGUCGGACGUGAAAUCCCUCGGCUCAACCGGGGAACUGCGUCCGAUACUGGCGAGGCUUGAAUCCGGGAGAGGGAUGUGGAAUUCCAGGUGUAGCGGUGAAAUGCGCAGAUAUCAGGAGGAACACCCGUGGCGAAAGCGGCUCUCUGGGACGGUACUGACGCUGAGACGCGAAAGCGUGGGGAGCAAACAGG
rnacentral:rRNA from 1 species